rnacentral:rRNA from 1 species
AACGAACGCUGGCGGCAUGCCUAACACAUGCAAGUCGAACGAGACCUUCGGGCCUAGUGGCGCACGGGUGCGUAACGCGUGGGAACCUGCCCUUGGGUUCGGAAUAACUCCCCGAAAGGGGUGCUAAUACCGGAUAAUGUCUUCGGACCAACGAUUUAUCGCCUUUGGAUGGGCCCGCGUUGGAUUAGCUAGUUGGUAGGGUAAAAGCCUACCAAGGCGACGAUCCAUAGCUGGUCUGAGAGGAUGAUCAGCCACACUGGGACUGAGACACGGCCCAGACUCCUACGGGAGGCAGCAGUGGGGAAUAUUGGACAAUGGGCGAAAGCCUGAUCCAGCAAUGCCGCGUGAGUGAUGAAGGCCUUAGGGUUGUAAAGCUCUUUUACCCGGGAUGAUAAUGACAGUACCGGGAGAAUAAGCUCCGGCUAACUCCGUG